rnacentral:lncRNA from 1 species
GAGUGAGGGUGGAUACCUAAGGUGAGUCCAGGUUGUGGACAUGCAGGGUAGCAGUUCACGGCGAGUGUCUGUGAGCCUCCAUUGAUUUCUUCAUGUAGGUAACUACGGUUUAACCCUAGGCUUUCAAAAAUGAUUUCCAAUAGUUGAUUUUGUAGAACUUGCACUGCUUUUACGUACUUUCCCAUCUUCUCCCUGUUAGCAUGUCAUUGUUGUGCAUAUUUUUAAUUAGGACUAGGGCAAUGAUAUGGACAUGAAUUUGAAAAGCUUUCAUCAUGGAAGCGGCAAAAUGGUUUCAAUUAUGAUAAGUCUAUUUGUGGUAUAAUGGUUUCAUAUUGUUGCUGGAUAAAAUUUUGGCAUUUGAAAAGGUCUAUAUAUAUGAAAGCAAUUUUUUUUCCUACAUAGUUUUUUUUCCACACCAUUUAACUUUUACAUCAUAUAUCUAUACACUCAUUCUUUUAUUGUAGAAAAGGAGGAGAGGUAAUUAAGCUCUGUAAAAUUUAUCUUCCCUCAGUUGGAUGGGUGUAAAGAUUACUGAUGUAAAAAUUGAGGUGUGUAAAAGAAUCAAAGACACAGUUUUAAGAAUAAUUAAUUAGGAUCAUAUAUAUUUUCAUACCUCCCUUUUCUUGUUGUACUCUAUCCCACACUUAGCUUUUAAUGAUAUAAAAAAAAUCAUUUUGCCUUAAAAUAUAUUUUCUUGGGUUUCUCAUAUUUUUAUAUAUUUUACCUUUAGUGCAAAUAGCAAGUAGGGGUGGGGUAGUGUGAGAAAAGGGAUCGUGGGAGAAAUAUUUUUCAAAGGUUUGUAACGAACUAACGAUACCUGUAAUUCGAUGGAUUUGAAGGCCACAUGUGAAUCCAAUCCGAUAUUGGAUAAGAGUAGUGUUUGAUGAAAUCUCUCCAGCAGUAAACUUCAUCCCUAGCUUGGUUAAGACUUGUUCCAUACCUUACAGGUUUGUGAACAUCUUGAGAAAAUAAACGCAUCUUUUCAUCAUUAGGGAGGUUGAAGAACUCUGUUGCGACUUCUAGGGCUUCAUCCAUUACUGAUUGAUCAAUUUCAUGGUUAAUAACCUACAAAAAUACAUAAGUCGUUUGUAAAUGUAAUAUUACAGUAUAAAAGUCACCAUAGAAAUAAAAUAAGUCUAAUUGUCUCCUCUAAAUUUAGCUCACUUUGAAGCAAGGGGUGUCGUCUUCGCUUUUAAAAAAACUACAUACUUAUCCACACACUCAGCCAACUCCUAUAUAUACACAAAUAUAUAUGCAAAUAUGCACGUUCAUGUGUAUGCUUGGUGUUCACUAGCAAAUUUGUAUGAUUUGUAAUUGGUCAUGUGUUACCAGAAAUUGGGACUUAUAUAGGAAAAAAAAAGGAAAUCAGAAUUGUAAUUAUGAUUGGUGGAAUCAGACAUAUUGAAUAAAAUAAUUGUUUUUAGAUAAGCAUAUUGAAUAAAAUAAUUGUUUAUAUAAAAUGUUUUUGCUUUUACUUUUCUAAACUACUUUAUAUAUAUAUAUAUAUAUAUAUAUAUAUAUAUAUGAUCCUUUUACAUGAGACAAGAGGAAGAUGAAAUAAUUUUUUUAUAAAGUGAUUAUAUGAUUUUUAAUUUUGGUUAUAUAUUUAUUUACGGUUCCUAUAUAUUUAUAUUUUUUUAACUUAAAAAAAAUAGUUUCUUACUAAAUUCAUUAUAUGUUAGCUCUUAUAAUUUAUAAAUAAAUAUGUACAAAUGUAUAUAUCUGCAUGCAUAUGCACGUGUAUUUUUGGUUGUAUUAGAAAAGUUGCAUGCAUGAUAUAUUAGAAAAGUUGCAUGCAUGAUAUACAAAAUGAGCGUGUGCUAUACCUGAAAGCAACCAAUCUCCUUGCAGGCAAUUCCAAUUUCAUCGAUCGUUCUAGAUAUAACAGAUUGAUCCCACAAAGUAGACAAAUCUAUAAUGGGAAGAGUGGUGGAGAUCAUGGGAACAUGAGGGCUAGGACGUUGUGAUGGUGGAAGAACAUAACGUUGAGGUAUAGAAGACACUCCAAGCUUGUCAAGACUCACAGCACUAGUAAAAGAUGAAGCACUAUGAUCUCCCUCCAUUGUCUCUCUUCCCAAAUCUUAUAUUUUCAAAUGGUAUUGAAUUGAGAUACCGAGCUAAUCAUCAAGAUCUAUUUAUAAGCCUCCAAGUGGAUAUGUUACGUUGAUCACGAUAGUCCUCUAUCCACAUUUCUUUAAGUUGUUCAAUUCACUUAAAUUGUGCAUGCAAGAAAGUACAAAAAAAAGAUUUUCGUUCAGAACACGAGUGUGGAUUAAAUGAUCAUAGUUGCCCCAGAUCUGAGAGUGAUGGGAAUUGAAGUCAAAACGGGAUAAAAGAAGAGCAGAUAGUGAUGAAAGAAUUUUGAUAAAUAUAUUGGUCCAAUAUUCUUACGGCGCUAGUGCUAGUGGGGUUUGCUUGUUUGCGAUUUUUUUAUUGGAGAAAUGUUAGGGCUUUGUACGAGUCCAUGCUGUGGCACUAAGGAUCGUUGGCUUGUUUUGACUUUGUAUGCAAAUCAGCAGUUUAGAACGUGCCUCGCGGAGUAUCUUUGCGGUUUGUGUUUAAUCAGAGAGAUACCUAAGACGAGUCAAUUAAAAAAUAGAGUUUAUAUUAUUUGGGGAUGAAUGUGUACAUUAUAUUUGUCCUCGAAAUUAUCCAAGAACUGAUCCUCGUUCACGGUACAUUAUCUUGGGUUUCUCAUAUCCUCGUUCAACGUAUCUACAGAUAGACCUCUGUUGGACUAAAAUCAUAAUAGAGCUAAAUGGUUGUUGCGGCUGUUUUGAAUAUUGUUUUCCUUUUUUUUUUUUCUGGUACAUGAACAUGUGGCUUUGGA